GAUGAACGCUGGCGGCGUGCCUAAUACAUGCAAGUCGAGCGAACGGACGAGAAGCUUGCUUCUCUGAUGUUAGCGGCGGACGGGAGAGUAACACGUGGAUAACCUACCUAUAAGACUGGGAUAACUUCGGGAAACCGUAGCUAAUACCGGAUAAUAUUUUGAACCGCAUGGUUCAAAAGUGAAAGACGGUCUUGCUGUCACUUAUAGAUGGAUCCGCGCUGCAUUAGCUAGUUGGUAAGGUAACGGCUUACCAAGGCAACGAUGCAUAGCCGACCUGAGAGGGUGAUCGGCUACACUGGAACUGAGACACGGUCCCGACUCCUACGGGAGGCAGCAGUAGGGAAUCUUCCGCGAUGGGCGAAAGCCUGACGGAGCAACGCCGCGUGAGUCAUGAAGGUCUUCGGAUCGUAAAACUCUGUUAUUAGGGAAGAACAUAUGUGUAAGUAACUGUGAACAUCUUGACGGUACCUAAUCAGAAAGCCACGGCUAACUACGUG
rnacentral:rRNA from 1 species